UUGUCUAUGUCUUGUUUGGAAGGAUCAUUUGUCUAUGUCUUGUUUGGAAGGAUCAUUUGCCUAUGUCUUGUUUGGAAGGAUCAUUUGUCUAUGUCUUGUUUGGAAGGAUCAUUUGUCUAUGUCUUGUUUGGAAGGAUCAUUAUGUAUGUCUUGUGUUUGGAAGGAUCGUGUCUAUGUCUUGUUUGGAAGGAUCGUUUGUCUAUGUCUUGUUUGGAAGGAUCAUUUGUCUAUGUCUUGUUUGGAAGGAUCAUUUGCCUAUGUCUUGU
rnacentral:lncRNA from 1 species